rnacentral:rRNA from 1 species
UACGGAGGGGGCAAGCGUUGUUCGGAAUUACUGGGCGUAAAGGGCGCGUAGGCGGCCGGUCGCGUCAGGUGUGAAAGCCCCGGGCUCAACCUGGGAGGUGCACUUGAUACGGGCUGGCUGGAGGCCGAGAGAGGUGAGUGGAAUUCCCAGUGUAGAGGUGAAAUUCGUAGAUAUUGGGAAGAACACCAGUGGCGAAGGCGGCUCACUGGCUCGGUCCUGACGCUGAGGCGCGAAAGCGUGGGGAGCAAACAGGAUUAGAAACCCCAGUAGUCC